UCAAAAAAACGUCACUCUCUCUCUCCCACACCAAAACCACCAUGAAAGCUCAUUUUUGAGCUUGAAGAACCAAAAUCCAACCAUGGCCAAUUGUCCUACCAUAACUAGAUGUUGUUUGGACAACUAGGAAAGAGGAUUCAAAGAAAAGAAAGAAGAAAAAUUUGAAGAAAAGGGAGAAGAAAUUCUGCACACAAGUUGAAAAGAAUAUCGGGAAGGAACCCGAGGAAACGAGUCGAGGCUAAGGGACGACUCGCUUGAGAUAAAAGCAAGGAGAAAGCAGCAGAGU